rnacentral:lncRNA from 1 species
GAAACCACUGAGCUAAAUCCCCGGCCAGCUAGAGGCUUUUUAGAUCAUCAGUUCUAAGUGACUAGGUCACUCCCCGCCCCCUCCUCCAAGUGUGUUUCCAAAGAUUUAGAGAAGAAGGAGUUUUCAGGGAGCACUCAUAAGAGCAAAGUGGAGGGUUGAGUGUGAUCUGGCUGGUAGACAGAAGAUACAAAGAUGCCAAGGGGACAUAGGACAAAGUAACAAAAAACCCAACUCAGAAAAGGACAUUUACUGACUAAACAACCAAAGAAGUAUUAUGUACCUGCCUAUCAGACUGACAAAAUUUUUAAAGUCUGAUGUUAACAAUCAUUGGUGAGGAUGUGAAGAAACAAGACCUCAUGGUGAUGAGAAGAUAAAGAAAUACAACUACUUUAGAAAGCCAUUUGAAUGAACAGACUACAUGAAUGAUAAGAUAAAUGGAGCUGAAAUGAGGGAAGAGGUGGGGGGACCUUUACCUCUAUUUGAACCAGUCUGCAUACUGUCUUCAGGGAAGCCAGGCG